rnacentral:rRNA from 1 species
AGUGAACGCUGGCGGUAGGCCUAACACAUGCAAGUCGAACGGCAGCACAGUAAGAGCUUGCUCUUACGGGUGGCGAGUGGCGGACGGGUGAGGAAUACAUCGGAAUCUACUUUUUCGUGGGGGAUAACGUAGGGAAACUUACGCUAAUACCGCAUACGACCUACGGGGGAAAGCAGGGGAUCUUCGGACCUUGCGCGAUUGAAUUAGCCGAUGUCGGAUUAGCUAGUUGGCGGGGUAAAGGCCCACCAAGGCGACGAUCCGUAGCUGGUCUGAGAGGAUGAUCAGCCACACUGGAGCUGAGACACGGUCCAGACUCCUACGGGAGGCAGCAGUGGGGACUAUUGGACAAUGGGCGCAAGCCUGAUCCAGCCAUACCGCGUGGGUGAAGAAGGCCUUCGGGUUGUAAAGCCCUUUUGUUGGGAAAGAAAAGCAGCAGGUUAAUACCCCGCUGUUCUGACGGUACCCAAAGAAUAAGCACCGGCUAACUUCGU